AAUAUUAAGAUGUUGAUUUCCAAAAUACCAAAAGUGGUGGACAGUGUGGAUGAAUUCCCGACUUUUUCGAACUCCAGAGCUGGACUGAUAUCACUAUAAGACAAAGAAAAGUAAAAGGAAUAAGCUUGUAGCUUAGUAAGUAGGCAUGCGACAUUUUUAAAGGCAAAUAAAUAUUUAAACAUAAUCUUAAUUGAAAAUAAAUUCUAAACAUGAAAUAUAAGUAUUUUUCUAUAAUGCAUUUUUACUCGUUUAAUAAUUAUACAUAUAUAAAAAUAAAAUAAUAAAUUUAUAUAGCAGUUAUCAUCUUAUUUUUCCUUAACAUAUUUAAAAAAAAAACUUAAAUAAUUUUUGACACUCUAGUCACUGCCACCACCGUGCCACUUGACACCCUAGCUACCGCCGUUCACACCAAAACAGCAAGCCUCCAUCUUUGACCGCCAGCACCUGCAAAAAGGGACACAAAAAGCAACAGAAACAGGGCAAGAAAUAAAAGAAACAGUAGUAAACCAUGUAAUAUGACUAUAAAAGCCAGAACCAAUUUGUAAAACGGGGUUACGAAGAUUAAAAAAAAAGGAGAACAAAAAACAAAUUUAAAAGGUGAUUGUUUCGAUUUCAGAUUCGGAUUUCUUUUUUUGCUGUCCAUAUUUUAUAUAUUUUUUUCUUUUCUACGUAUAUUAAGUAAGAAAUAAAGAGGGGAAAGAGGCCAUACCGGUUUUGCUCCGUAAGCCCACCGCUGGAGGCUCCCGUCCAUCGCCGGAGUCAGACCGAGAGGAGGCCAGGAAGAUCCUUCUCCUUCGGUCUUUUGGGACACGAAGGCCGAGCCUUCGAGCGGGCUUAAAAGCGGGUUUAAAACCCGAUGUCUCGGUGGUUCCGACCACUGCUUGCGGAGGGGCUACGGCGGCCUUUGGCAAAAAAAAAUCCUAGGACGAUUUAGAGAGGAAAGCAAAGGAGAAUUUUUUUUUAUG
rnacentral:lncRNA from 1 species